rnacentral:rRNA from 1 species
UAUCUCUGUAGAGUCUGCAUAUCAAUAAGCGGAGGAAAAGAAACUAACUAGGAUUCCCUUAGUAACGGCGAGUGAAGCGGGAAGAGCUCAAAUUUGAAAUCUUCAAGGUUUUACCUUGACGAAUUGUAGUUUAAAGAAGUGUUUUCUGUUGGUGUUUUGGUAAAAGUUCUUUGGAAUAGGACAUCAUAGAGGGUGAGAAUCCCGUAUUUGACCAUUACUUCCAGCGUUGUGAUACACUUUCAAAGAGUCGGAUUGUUUGUGGAAUGCAGUCCAAAAUGGGUGGUAAAUUUCAUCUAAAGCUAAAUAUUGGCGAGAGACCGAUAGCGAACAAGUACCGUGAGGGAAAGAUGAAAAGAACUUUGAAAAGAGAGUUAAACAGUACGUGAAAUUGUCAAAAGGGAAGCGUUUGACACCAGUGUUGUUUUCUCGAAAAUCAAUUAAAAAAAGCUUGGAUUUUGUAUUGUUAAGACCUUUAUCAGCUUACUGCUACUCUUUUCAUGUCUUUUUUAAUGCACUUUUCGUUUAACAAGUCAACAUCAAUUUCUUUUGUUGUAAAAGAGGUCAUUGGAAGGUGGCUUUCACUUUCGGAUGAAAGUGUUUAUAGCCUUUGGCCUCUGCAAUCGGAGAGAUUGAGGUCUGCAGCGUAGAUCCUUCGGGGUUAGAUACAGUUAGAUGCUAAGUUAUAGCCUUUUCUAUAGACAACUUGUUGACUAUAAUCAGUCAUGUAGCUUACUCGCUUAUGGCUAUUUUACCUACGCUUAGGAUGUUGAAGUCAUCGUAUCGCGC